GAGAAAAACAGAGCAGAGGACAAGAAACCCAACUGGGAGACCUAGAUGAAGACUGGAGCAACAAAGUGAGGGACGGGGCUGGAGAUAGACCGGAGACCAGUCUUACGUGCCAGAUGACAAAGAAGAUGAGGGAGGCGCACAGCACCAGGCCCAAAGCAGGCCUGAAACCAGAGCAGUUGCUGGAUAAAGACUCACCAGGGGAAGUUGGAUGGGGCUAUACACAGAAAAACCAGGGCCCAGAAGCUGAGUCUCGGCUGCCUAGAACCAGAUGCCCUCCGU
rnacentral:sRNA from 1 species